AUUGAACGCUGGCGGCAGGCCUAACACAUGCAAGUCGAGCGAGCGGCGGACGGGUGAGUAAUGUAUGGGGCCUGCCCGAUAGUGGGGAUUAACUAAUGGAAGCGAUAGCUAAUACCGCAUACUAUCGGCUAACCCAUAUGUGAUGAGCUAGUAGGUGAGGUAAUGGCUCACCUAGGCGACGAUCCCUAGAUGGUCUGAGAGGAUGAUCAGCCACACUGGGAAGGAGAAACGGCCCAGAAUCCGACGGAGGCAGCAGUGGGGAAUAGUGCACAAUGGGCGCAAGCCUGCUGCAGCCAGGCGUCGUGCAUGAAGAAGGCCCUAGGGUUGUAAAGUACUUUCAGUCGGGAGGCGUUACCGACAGAAGAAGCACUGGCGAACUCCGUGCCAGCAGCCGCGGGAAUUC
rnacentral:rRNA from 1 species